rnacentral:rRNA from 1 species
AGAAUCAACGCUGGCGGCGUGCCUAACACAUGCAAGUCGCACGAGAAAGGGAGUUCGCUCCUGAGUAAAGUGGCGCACGGGUGAGUAACACGUGAAUCAUCUACCUCCGAAUGGGGAAUAACUGAGAGAAAUCUUAGCUAAUACCGCAUAAUACCUACGGGUCAAAGCAGCAAUGCGUUUGGAGAGGAGUUCGCGGUCGAUUAGUUAGUUGGCGGGGUAAUGGCCCACCAAGACGAUGAUCGAUAUCCGGCCUGAGAGGGCGCACGGACACACUGGAACUGAAACACGGUCCAGACUCCUACGGGAGGCAGCAGUGGGGAAUUUUGCGCAAUGGGGGAAACCCUGACGCAGCAACGCCGCGUGGAGGAUGAAAUAUCUUGGUAUGUAAACUCCUUUCGAUGGGAAGAUAAUGACGGUACCAUAGAAGAAGCCCCGGCUAACUUCGCGCCAGCAGCCGC